rnacentral:rRNA from 1 species
GAGGAAGGUGGGGAUGACGUCAAGUCCUCAUGGCCUUUAUGUCCAGGGCUACACACGUGCUACAAUGGCCGGUACAAACCGCUGCAAACCCGCGAGGGUGAGCCAAUCGGAGAAAGCCGGCCUCAGUUCGGAUUGUAGUCUGCAACUCGACUACAUGAAGCUGGAAUCGCUAGUAAUCGCGGAUCAGCAUGCCGCGGUGAAUACGUUCCCGGGCCUUGUACACACCGCCCGUCACAUCACGAAAGUGGGUCGUACUAGAAGCGGGUGAGCUAACCUUCGGGAAGCAGCCCUCCAAGGUGUGAUUCAUGAUUGGGGUGAAGUCGUAACAAGGUAGCCGUAA